GCCUACGGGGGGCAGCAGUAGGGAAUUUUCGUCAAUGGGCGCAAGCCUGAACGAGCAAUGCCGCGUGAACGAGGAAGGUCUUCGGAUCGUAAAGUUCCGUUGAAGGGGAAAAAGAGCGGAGAGAGGAAAUGGUCUCCGAUUGAUAUUACCCUUCGAGGAAGUCACGGUUAACUACGUGCCAGCAGCCGCGGUAAUACGUAGGUGGCGAGCGUUAUCCGGAAUGAUUGGGCGUAAAGGGUGCGUAGGCGGCCUGCUAAGUCUGGAGUGAAAGGUACCGGCCCAACCGGUACAGGCUCUGGAAACUG
rnacentral:rRNA from 1 species